rnacentral:rRNA from 1 species
AUUGAACGCUGGCGGCAUGCCUUACACAUGCAAGUCGAACGGUAACAGGUUAAGCUGACGAGUGGCGAACGGGUGAGUAAUAUAUCGGAACGUGCCCAGUCGUGGGGGAUAACGUAGCGAAAGCUACGCUAAUACCGCAUACGAUCUACGGAUGAAAGCGGGGGAUCGCAAGACCUCGCGCGAUUGGAGCGGCCGAUAUCAGAUUAGGUUGUUGGUGAGGGAAAAGCUCACCAAGCCUGCGAUCUGUAGCUGGUCUGAGAGGACGACCAGCCACCAUGGAACUCAGACACGGUCCAGACUCCUCCCGGAGGCAGCAGUGGGGAAUUUUGGACAAUGGACGCAAGUCUGAUCCAGCAAUGCCGCGUGCAGGACGAAGGCCUUCGGGUUGUAAACUGCUUUUGUACGGAACGAAACGGUGAGCUCUAAUACAGUUUGCUAAUGACGGUACCGUAAGAAUAAGCACCGGCUAACUACGUGCCAGCCGCCGCCGUAA